rnacentral:rRNA from 1 species
AUUGAACGCUGGCGGCAUGCUCUACACAUGCAAGUCGAACGGUAACAGGCCGCAAGGUGCUGACGGGUGGCGAACGGGUGAGUAAUGCAUCGGAACGUGCCCAGUCGUGGGGGAUAACUACUCGAAAGAGUAGCUAAUACCGCAUACGAUCUAUGGAUGAAAGCGGGGGACCGUAAGGCCUCGCGCGAUUGGAGCGGCCGAUGUCAGAUUAGGUAGUUGGUGGGGUAAAGGCUCACCAAGCCAACGAUCUGUAGCUGGUCUGAGAGGACGACCAGCCACACUGGGACUGAGACACGGCCCAGACUCCUACGGGAGGCAGCAGUGGGGAAUUUUGGACAAUGGGCGCAAGCCUGAUCCAGCAAUGCCGCGUGCAGGAAGAAGGCCUUCGGGUUGUAAACUGCUUUUGUACGGAACGAAACGGCUCUGGUUAAUACCCGGGGCUAAUGACGGUACCGUAAGAAUAAGCACCGGCUAACUACGUG